rnacentral:tRNA from 1 species
GCGAGAGUGGCGGAAUUGGCAGACGCGCUGGAUUUAGGAUCCAGUGAGGAACACUCGUGGGGGUUCGAAUCCCCCCUCUCGCACCA